rnacentral:rRNA from 1 species
CUACGGGGGGCAGCAGUGGGGAAUAUUGCGCAAUGGGGGAAACCCUGACGCAGCAACGCCGCGUGAAGGACGAAGGUUUUCGGAUCGUAAACUUCUUUGAUUGGGGAAGAAUAAAUGACGGUACCCAAAAAACAAGCCACGGCUAACUACGUGCCAGCAGCCGCGGUAAUACGUAGGUGGCAAGCGUUGUCCGGAUUUACUGGGUGUAAAGGGCGUGUAGGCGGGGAGGCAAGUCAGAUGUGAAAUACCACGGCUCAACCGUGGGGGUGCAUCUGAAACUGCUUCUCUUGAGUGCUGGAGAGGAAAGCGGAAUUCCUAGUGUAGCGGUGAAAUGCGUAGAUAUUAGGAGGAACACCAGUGGCGAAGGCGGCUUUCUGGACAGUAACUGACGCUGAGGCGCGAAAGCGUGGGGAGCAAACAGGAUUAGAUACCCGCGUAGUC